AUAACAUUUUAUUAAAUCGGACCACAGUGUUUCUGUCACUUCCUGUUCAGCCUGAAGGCUGCUGGAAUCGUCUGGAAACUGUCUGACUUGACAGUGGAUUUUUGUCACCGCCCCCGGCGGCUGCC